UACGGGGGGGGCAAGCGUUGUUCGGAAUUACUGGGCGUAAAGGGUUUGUAGGUGGCUCUCUAAGUCACACGUGAAAUCCCUCAGCUUAACUGGGGAACUGCGUGUGAGACUGGCGAGCUUGAGGACAGGAGAGGAACGCGGAAUUCCAGGUGUAGCGGUGAAAUGCGUAGAUAUCUGGAGGAACACCGGUGGCGAAGGCGGCGUUCUGGACUGUUUCUGACACUGUAAAACGAAAGCCAGGGGAGCAAACGGG
rnacentral:rRNA from 1 species